rfam:TPA: Bos taurus chromosome 26, whole genome shotgun sequence.
UCCUUGGUGGCUCAGACAGUAAAGAAUCUGCCUGCAAUGCAGGAGACCCAAGUUCGAUCCCUGGACUGGGAA